rnacentral:rRNA from 1 species
AUGGCAGGGUCUAGAUCGAGUGUUCAUGGAGAAAACCAUGGGGAAGAAGAUGCCUCGGUCACACGUGCUGAGCUGCAGCGACUCGAGAACAACUUACUCCAAGCCAUGGAAAGGAUGCUUCAUGAGCGUCCUCUAGUAGGUGGUGAUAGGGUUCGACACUGA